rnacentral:rRNA from 1 species
CACGUAGUUAGCCGUGGCUUCUGAUUAGGUACCGUCAAGAUGUGCACAGUUACUUACACAUUUGUUCUUCCCUAAUAACAGAGUUUUACGAGCCGAAACCCUUCAUCACUCACGCGGCGUUGCUCCGUCAGGCUUUCGCCCAUUGCGGAAGAUUCCCUACUGCUGCCUCCCGUAGGAGUCUGGACCGUGUCUCAGUUCCAGUGUGGCCGAUCACCCUCUCAGGUCGGCUACGUAUCGUCGCCUUGGUAAGCCGUUACCUUACCAACUAGCUAAUACGGCGCGGGUCCAUCUAUAAGUGAUAGCAAAACCAUCUUUCACUUUAGAACCAUGCGGUUCUAAAUGUUAUCCGGUAUUAGCUCCGGUUUCCCGAAGUUAUCCCAGUCUUAUAGGUAGGUUACCCACGUGUUACUCACCCGUCCGCCGCUAACUUCAAAGGAGCAAGCUCCUUAUCUGUUCGCUCGACUUGCAUGUAUUAGGCACGCCGCCAGCGUUCAUCCUGAGCCAGGAUCAAACUCU